GGAAAAGGGGAGCGGGGAGGCGACUUCUUCGGGCUCCGCGGCGGUGCGCAGGCGCCGUGGUCCGACCGGAGACUUUGUUCUCCGCGGAGAGACCCAAGGGCGGUGCCGGUGGCUGACUGCGCACGCGCGCCGCCUCAUUUCCGGUGCUCUCUUUCGCUGGGUCGCUCGGGUCGGCUUCGGUCGCUGUCGCUCCCGCUCUCCCACCCCCGCCAACCGCCGCUCGGGCCUCUGCCGCUGCCGCGUUGCUUCCUCGAUCCCUCGAUCGUAUAUCCACUUCAAUGCAGCGCCGGGACGACCCCGCCGCGCGCAUGAGCCGGUCCUCAGGCCGCAGCGGCUCCAUGGACCCCUCCGGUGCCCACCCCUCAGUGCGUCAGGCGCCGUCUCGGCAGCCACCGCUGCCUCACCGAUCCCGGGGAGGCGGAGGAGGAUCCCGGGGGGGCGCCCGGGCCUCGCCCGCCACGCAGCCACCACCGCUGCUGCCGCCCUCGGCCACGGGUCCCGACGCGACAGUGGGCGGUCCAGCGCCGACCCCGCUGCUGCCCCCCUCAGCCACUGCCUCCGUCAAGAUGGAGCCGGAGAACAAGUACCUGCCCGAACUCAUGGCCGAGAAGGACUCGCUCGAUCCGUCCUUCACUCACGCCAUGCAGCUUCUGACGGCAGAAAUUGAGAAGAUUCAGAAGGGAGAUUCAAAAAAGGAUGAUGAGGAGAAUUACUUGGAUUUAUUUUCUCACAAGAACAUGAAGCUGAAGGAGCGGGUACUGAUACCUGUCAAGCAAUAUCCCAAGUUCAAUUUUGUGGGGAAGAUUCUUGGACCACAAGGAAAUACAAUCAAAAGACUGCAAGAAGAGACAGGUGCAAAGAUCUCUGUUCUGGGCAAGGGCUCAAUGAGAGACAAAGCCAAGGAGGAAGAGCUGCGCAAAGGUGGAGAUCCCAAAUAUGCCCACUUGAAUAUGGAUCUGCAUGUCUUCAUUGAAGUCUUCGGACCCCCAUGUGAGGCUUAUGCUCUAAUGGCCCAUGCUAUGGAAGAAGUCAAGAAGUUCCUAGUACCAGAUAUGAUGGAUGAUAUCUGCCAGGAGCAGUUUCUAGAGCUCUCCUACUUGAAUGGAGUACCGGAGCCCUCUCGUGGACGUGGGGUGCCAGUGAGAGGCCGAGGAGCGGCACCUCCUCCUCCACCUGUUCCCAGGGGCCGUGGUGUUGGACCACCUCGGGGGGCUCUGGUGCGUGGUACACCAGUGAGAGGAGCCAUCACCAGAGGUGCCACCGUGACGCGAGGAGUGCCACCGCCCCCUACAGUGAGGGGUGCGCCAGCACCAAGAGCGCGGACAGCAGGCAUCCAGAGAAUACCUUUGCCUCCACCCCCUGCACCAGAAACAUAUGAAGAAUAUGGAUAUGAUGAUACAUAUGCAGAACAGAGUUAUGAAGGCUACGAAGGCUAUUACAGCCAGAGCCAAGGGGAUUCAGAAUAUUAUGACUAUGGACAUGGGGAGGUUCAAGAUUCUUACGAAGCUUAUGGCCAAGACGACUGGAAUGGGACCAGGCCGUCGCUGAAGGCCCCUCCAGCUAGGCCAGUGAAGGGAGCAUACAGAGAGCACCCAUAUGGACGUUAUUAAAAACACACAUGAGGGGAAAUAUCAGUUAUGAGCAAAGUUGUUACUGAUUUCUUGUAUCUCCCAGGAUUCCUGUUGCUUUACCCACAACAGACAAGUGACUGAAAACUCCUGAGGCAUUUCCUGGAGUAGAAUGGGUAGUGAAGACCCAUGUCAGCGAUCAAAGGACUCCGGAAACCAAGAGAGCUGCCUGCUGUGUCAAGGCUGGCCUGCGGGCACUUGCUGAGCACAGAGAAACCCAGGAGAGAUCAACAGUGUUUUCCCACUCCACCUCUGGAUCUGUCUGAUUUGCCCACAGAAAGCCAGCCAGGAUCCCCUAAGAGAGUCUCUAGGCCCAGAGUGGAGCCCUCGGGGCUGCAGGGGACUCUGAUGCUAACAAACCUGCUUAAGACUUGACAGAGCUGAAGGGGACUAACAGCAUCCCAAGCACAGCUUCCUAGAUCUGAAUAAACUGGCACUCCCACUGUCAAUUCCCAGAUUGCCCGCUUCCCCUUAGCCUCUAGCAGAAGUAGCUGGAACAUGCCACCGCCCCCUCUUUCCCACCACACCACGCCUGUGCCAUGGGUGGCAGCCUGGGAGCCCUCUGGAGGUGCCCAAGGCUGGGUGUCACCAAUGUGACAGGCUGAGGAAAGCCAGAUGACAAGGUUCAUGUACUUUGAGCAAGUUAUUUAACUUCUGAGCCUGGUUUUCUCUCCAUUGUUGAUUACUAACCUUGUCCAAACAGCCCUUAAAAGGUAGGGCUUUUCCCACUUCACUUCUGUACUAUAUAUCCCUUCCCCGACAAAUCUCUGGCACCGAGGAGCUCAAUAAAAUUUGGUCAAGUGAAGAAUGGUCCCACUCUGGUAGCUUCUGUCAGCUUUGGGAGAGAGCCAAAGGCCCCUUGCCUAGCUCGUGCUCUUCUUCCAGCUAUACUGAGCUGGCUCUUUGGCCUGCCACUUGCUCUGGAAGGAUUGGAAAGUCAGCCUUUGAUAGCCUUCUAGUUUCCAAUGGCCUGUGUCUAGGCUGGUUUUAUCCUGAGCUACCUCAGAGGUUAGGGGCCUCUAAUACUACAUUCUUCCUUUAAUCAAAUAACUCGAAUGGUCAUUUAUCCUAACAAAGGAACUAGGAAAAGGGCUGGGUUUGGGAAGAGAGGCCGACAGCAUUUUUUAACUGCCUGGGGCUGUCUAAUGAGCUUGGAUUUGGUCUUAGCAGGAAAGGGACACUGAAAUCACUUGAUUUACUUUGGGCAAGUUAUUAAGCCUCUGAGCCCAUUUUUAUCUUCCAUUAUUGAUGACUAUAAAUAAGAGCUAAUAAUUUAUUAAAUGCUUAGAGUGUACCAGG